CCUACGGGGGGCAGCAGUGAGGAAUAUUGGUCAAUGGGCGCGAGCCUGAACCAGCCAAGCCGCGUGAGGGAAGAAGGCUCUAAGAAUUGUAAACUUCUUUUGCAAGGGGGUAAAGGCGGCUACGGGUGGCUGUCAGAGAGUAUCUGACGAAUAAGCAUCGGCUAACUCCGUGCCAGCAGCCGCGGUAAUACGGAGGAUUCCAGCGUUAUCCGGAUUUAUUGGGUUUAAAGGGUGCGCAGGCGGUCGGUUAAGUUAGAGGUUAAAUCCCGGGGCUCAACCUCGGAAUUGCCUUUGAUACUGUCCGGCUCGAGUUUAGUUGAGGUAGGCGGAAUGUGUGGUGUAGCGGUGAAAUGCUUAGAGAUCACGAAGAACCCCGAUUGCGAAGGCAGCUUACC
rnacentral:rRNA from 1 species